GAGCUAUCAACCAACCAUGUUUUGCAGGCGGAUUUUACAACACUGUUAAAACCAAAGAUUGUUGCUACUGUGGAGACAGCUGUUGCUGGAAAUAGUCACAAUUGACUGCUGUGCUUGACUACAUCAAUUUUACUGAUUUGGAGGGGUUCAUGCCCACUCUAAAGACUGGUGCCUUUUGAAUUGGUUUGAAUCCAUACCUGUCUGGCAAAUAAAUGAAUGCACCAGUCCUGUUUGGGAAGAGUUAGCACAG